AGUGAACGCUGGCGGCAGGCCUAACACAUGCAAGUCGAGCGGCUGCACGGUAAUUGCUCGCGCAUUCGGCGGCCGAGGGGCGGAUAAGUCCGAAAAAUAUCCCUAUCUAUUUUUUCUAAGGGCCUGACGUGGGCACUCAUACGCCAAUCGCCCUUAGGGCGUACGUGGGAGAUCUUCGGACCUUCCGACCUCACGCGAUCCAAUGUCGGAUUAGCUAGUUGGCGGGGUAAAGGCCUACCAAGGCGACGAUCCGUAACUGGUCUGAGAGGAUGAUCAGCCACACUGGAACUGAGACACGGUCCAGACUCCUACGGGAGGCAGCAGUGGGGAAUAUUGGACAAUGGGCGCAAGCCUGAUCCAGCCAUACCGCGUGUGUGAAGAAGGCCUUCGGAUUGUAAAGCACUUUUGUUGGGAAAGAAAAGCAGCAGGUUAAUACCCCGCUGUUCUGACGGUACCAAAAGAAUAAGCACCGGCUAACUUCGUG
rnacentral:rRNA from 1 species